CAGUAGCCGCGGUAAUACAGAGGGUGCGAGCGUUAAUCGGAUUUACUGGGCGUAAAGCGUGCGUAGGCGGCUUUUUAAGUCGGAUGUGAAAUCCCUGAGCUUAACUUAGGAAUUGCAUUCGAUACUGGGAAGCUAGAGUAUGGGAGAGGAUGGUAGAAUUCCAGGUGUAGCGGUGAAAUGCGUAGAGAUCUGGAGGAAUACCGAUGGCGAAGGCAGACAUCUGGCCUAAUACUGACGCUGAGGUACGAAAGCAUGGGGAGCAAACAGGAUUAGAGACCCCCGUAGUCCCUGUCUCUUAUAC
rnacentral:rRNA from 1 species